rnacentral:rRNA from 1 species
AGAUUGAACGCUGGCGGCAUGCCUUACACAUGCAAGUCGAACGGUAGAGUAGCAAUACUUGAGAGUGGCGAACGGGUGAGUAAUAUAUCGGAACGUGCCCAGUCGUGGGGGAUAACGUAGAGAAAUUUACGCUAAUACCGCAUACGAUCUAAGGAUGAAAGCGGGGGACCGUAAGGCCUCGCGCGAUUGGAGCGGCUGAUAUCAGAUUAGGUUGUUGGUGAGGUAAAAGCUCACCGAAGCCGACGAUCUGUAGCUGGUUUGAGAGAACGACCAGCCACACUGGGACUGAGACACGGCCCAGACUCCUACGGGAGGCAGCAGUGGGGAAUUUGGACAAGUGGGCAAAGCCUGGAUCCAGCAAUGCCGCGUGCAACGGAAGAACGGCCUUGGGUUAGUAAACUGUACUUUUGUAACGAACGAACGGUUACUACGUACUUUAAAUACCGAGUAGGU